rnacentral:lncRNA from 1 species
GCUGUGGGCUGUUGGGAGGCACAUGGACCCUGGGAGGAUGGUAGUUGCUGUAGCCCUUCUCUCACAGGAGGAAGAUACCAGGCCCCACCUUGCCUAUCCACCACGAGUCAGGCUCAGAGGUAGCCUGCACAGUGGCACUGGACCUGUAGGCGUGUAUGCACCUAUCCCCACCAGAACCUACGGUCUCAUUGAGACUUCAUCAGUUAAGGUUGUGAACUGGAUCUGGAUUGGGCUGAGCCUCCAGUCUUGCCCUCCCCCGCCCUGCCCCAGGCCAGGCCCAGUGCAUAGGCAGUGUUUUCAUCCAGAGAUUUCAGUAGACUCUCAGUGUUGAGGAUUCCUCUUGCUGGUGGAUGAGGAGGCCCUCCCAAGGCCUGGAGCCCCCUUCCUGGAGCAGAGGAGUCCAGCACACAGAGGGUUAAACGCUGAUGAUGGCUUUGUCUCUGCAUCAGUGUACAUAAUGUGCUGUGCAUUUGCAUACUGCAGUGUGCGCUCAAUUAAAAUGAACUUUUAAUUUCUUCUAAGUAAAUUACUUCUUGCCGGUACGUGAUGUGCACAAAUGUCAGAAUAAUGGGAGAGCCUUAAUGAGCUGGGGAGUAGAUCUUGUGGGGGCUGCCUGAAACAACCCCUGAAACACACGCGUCUUCAUGCCACACCAGCAUGGGGCACACCCUGUCCCUCGGGCAGGCCACACACUAACCUGUGACUGCUGGUUAUAUCCAUUCCACAGUCACUGUGUAACCCUAGCUGGGCCGUGGGUGCCCUCUCACACUGUCUCUCACUCAGCAGUGAUCUUCUCCUUGUGUGCCUCAGAUACUUGCUCACUUACAGAGAGAGGGUUUCCCUGAGGGACGUAUAGAUUCACCCAGCCUCAGUUUCCCCGUCUGCUCCUCAUCUUGGCUGUACGUGAGAAUGUAAGUUUAAAGUGUUUCAAACAGCAGUCACUGAAAUCAACAGGGAGGCAGUGCAAGCAUGGUUCCCUCCACCUGCAUGGUCCAGCAGCCUGAACCCAGACCUGUAGCACCCCACGAGGGCAGGUAACACAUUGCAUCUGGACAGAGGAGGAAUGGAAAAUCAGACCAAGACACACAGCAAGUGCAGGGAUGAAGGUUGUCACCCCAAAGCCUCACCUCAUACAUUUCAAGUAUGAGAAACUGCAAGGAACACCAGCCAUCAGCACUGCAGGCACCGAUGGGGCAAGGGGAAGCCUAGCAGAGCUCCCAGGCCCCAGUACCUGCACAGCUCAUUAGCCUCGCCUGGCACUUGUUUCAGUACCUUGGAGAGGUCCAGAAACAUGCUGUGGCCCUCCACUUCAGUUGGGUUAACCAUACCCUUUAUCCACAGAGGCAGCAGACCAGAAGCCAUUGUGGUGCCACAAGCCUAGAUCAACCUGGUUUCAGGACCACAGGUCUCAUGACCCUGACAUAAUCACUUGGAACCUCUUAGCACCUCGUCUGUGCUUGGGCCUGAGGACGCUGCAGGCCACAUUUAAAUCCCCUGCUCUAGGGGCCUACAGGAUGGCUCAGAGGAUCUUUCUGUGCCAGCAGCAACGGUGCCAGGAGGAGGUCUACAGACUGCGGCCUCUGUGGAAGAAGGUGGCGCCAGUCGCACAAACCUUGCUGAUAAGGUAUCGCUGCACAGUGCGGCUGCG